AGCUAACAUUUAUAUUCAUUGCCCCACCUACUUUUGCUUCUGGCCCCGCCCAGCACUGGCAUGUGGCCCCCAACAUGUUGUCCAAAAAUGAAUGUGGCCCUCAGUCUAAAAAAAGCCUCCGUAUUCCUGCUUAACUAUUUCCUGCCCCUCCAUUUUCCUCUCCAACCCUUUCCCCUCAAGUUGCUUUUUCCUAUUCAACCGGCAGCUGCAUCUUCAAGCCUCAGCUUCACGCAGUGUGGAAGGGAAGAGCCCAUGGCAGUGCUGCAGAUCAGAGGAGCCAGUAAUGCCAACUGAGUCCCCCUUGCAAAGGAAAAGGCAUGGAUUGCUUCAUAUUGACUUACUGUUUAAAUGAGGUCAGUCAAAGCGUAAGUGGACACCAUUGCCUUGUACCAUUUAACCAGGAAUAAGGGAACUAUAAACCAGGGGUGCAGGAAAAGGAAAAGACCUGCAUUCCAGGACACCCACAAUUCCUGAAGGAUGCUGCACACAUCCCCUGGCAGCCCUGCCAUCUUGAGUUGGCCUUGUGCAGUGAUAAAAGGCAAUGUAAACCACCCUACCUUAGUUGUCGCAACCAAGUCAUUUAGAAUGUUAUGCAGAACCCUACAAGAUCCUAGGAAACACUGACUUCCCCCCCCCAAACUGUAUUGUUUCUCUUGAUUCCCCCCCCCCCAUCACAACAUACAGAGAGCUGGAUAGUCUGACGGGUCGCAUAAGUUGGGUUUAAUGAGCAGUACUGAAAACCAUGUUAUGUUAUGUUAUGUAAACCGCCCUUAAAAAAUGAUUAACAGAUGGUAUACAAACACAUUGGAACAAAUGACUUAGGCUGCAAUCCUAACUAUGUUUAAACAGAAGUAAGUUUCAAUGAAUUAAAUGUGCUUACUCCCAGGUAAGUGAAGAUUUAAAUUGAGCUAUUACUUCUUAUAUAUAGCAUGGUCCCCAUCCCCCUUGAUUAUAAGUCAACUAUUUUGAUAGAACUGCCUUUCUACUGCUUCCAGAUAUCUACUUGCUCUUCUUUCCUACCAUGCCAGUCCUAUUAAGUGCUGUCUAUUGAUGGAAAGAACUGUGUGGGGUUUUUCUGUUUUUGCUUUUGUUUUUGAAGGGAUGGUGACACAGCUGAAAAAAGAAUUCAUCUAAUGUGCAAAAAAAUAGGGCGGCUAUAUCCAGUGUAGAUUCAUUGCAAUUAAUUGAGAUGCCUAGCUUAGCUUCAUUGGCUCUAGCAGGUCUACACUCUGAGUAGCACUAGCAUUUGAUACAACCCAGAUUCUUUAAUGAGAGGGAAAGGUUAAAUCUUAGUUUAGUAGCACCAGAAAGGAAAGGAUUUAUCAUGCUGGCAUAAAAACUGACUUCAGAAGGACUUGCCUGCUCUUGCAUAGCCUGGCAUGUCAUGUCCUCGACCUUUCAGCGAUGCCCAGCACUGAAACACAGGCAAGCCCAAGGAGCCAAAUAGUUUAUUUUGUCAUCUGUUCACAUCUGGUAACUAAGGUUUUGGAGCUUUUGGUACAGGCAACCCUGUUGGGAGAUGACAUUCUCCUUCAGGAAUUCAUCAUGCUAGAACACAUUUUCAAAUGGCAAAACCAUUUUUUAAAAGCUGCCCACUUUAACUUUUUCACAAA